AUGGUAUAAUAAAAUCGGAGGCCACGACUGUUUACUAAAAACACAAUUCAGAGCAAUGAUUAAGAUAAUAGUAUUCUGAAUGAAAUUUGCUCAAUGCCAUUAAUAUAAAAGAGGUAAUUUUAAAGUUAUUAAUUGAAAGUCUGGUUAAUAGCGGUCUUAACUAUGAGGAUCCUAAGGUAGCAAAAUAAAUUGGCCAUUAAAUGUGGUCUAGUAUCAAUAAUGUAACGAUGGUCUCACUGUCUCUACAACUUGCUCAGUGAAAUUGAAU
rnacentral:rRNA from 1 species